CUAGGAAGUGUUGUUGUCAGUCUGACAACAUCUGAGAUUUGCACUGGUUGUCAACAAAGUGUGUACAGAUCCUUCAUUAGGUCAUGAAUUCUGAAGAACGUCAUUGAAAUGGAAAGAUUCAGUAGUUGGGCAUGUGCACAAACAACAAAUGCUUUCAAAGGGCUGGUGUCAGCAAUCUAAGUUAGGACGGGUCUUGUGACCAGGAAGUCCUAACAGGCUACAACUGGUUGGGUGAACCUCUACAUCAGCAGCAGUUCUCGAGUCUCUGAUGCUCUCAGCAUAUCAGGACCAAAUAUGUCUUUCAAGAGAUGCUUAAGCUAAAGGUUAUGUGAUUCUUUGAGCCAAACAUUCAUUUUAGGAAGGAGGAGGCUGCAGCUCUGGAAAAUGCUGGGACUGGGAUUUUUAAAGGAGCCCAAGAGAGAAAGGUGCCAAAAUCCGUUAGACGCCUUUGAAUUUCCCAGCCUCAGUGCAUUGAAAAAUAUGAUAUUAUGUGGAAGGCACGUACUGGAUUGGGACAGUUACAUGGAAGAUAAAAUCCUGGCCCCAUUGACUUCAAUGAAACCAGGAUUUCAUCUAAGAUGCACAAAGUGGGCCUGUCAGCUGAGACACAUGCAUGUUUUGCAUGCAUGCCCAACUGCAUGUCUGCAGUGUGGACACAGGUACUUUGCCAGUGCAAUUUACAUACCAGGCUUUCUGGGUUCGAUCGAAAGCUCAAGGAAUUCUUUUAAUUGAUUUCAGUGGAUGUUGGAUCAGGUCCCUAAACCCCCACAUCUAGUCUUCCUUCUAAUGCAGAAUUUCUACAUUGGUUUAUUUUCUAGGGCUUUGUUUAGUCCAAUAUUAAAUUUCUCAAGGCAUAGGGCUUCUAGUACCCACUUAUUUGGGGAGGCUGUUCCCCAGUCCAAUAGAUUUCACUAUAGCAAUUUAUCCUCCAGAUAUUCAGCCAAAAUUUUUCUUUUCUUAAUUGCAUUCUGGUAUUUCCUCUGACCUCCAUACGUCAUUUUUUCUCUUUCCUUUGGUGUUUAAAAAGUAUUUUUCCCCAA